rnacentral:misc_RNA from 1 species
UGACUAGAUUAUUUAAUUUCGUGAACAUUGCCAAUUUAGACGAUAUUUCCAUUAAUGACCUAUGCACAAAACGUGAUAGGCUCAAUGUGGCUUUUAAAGAAUACGAAGCCCUAUGUAAAGAUAUUCUCGGUCUUGACUCCGCCGACGAGGAGGAUGUGGAGUCGGUGGAGGACAAUUAUUUUAAAACUUUAUCAGCCUUUGACAAACGCAUCAAGCCUCUUGAUUCAAACCCUUCAGGCUCUUCCACUCAUGAAAAAACACAUAAAACUAAAUUACCACCUAUAUCCAUAAAACCCUUUGAGGGCACAUACACAGAAUAUGUUCCAUUUAUCAAUUUAUUUAAUUCAUUAAUUCAUAAUGACAAAAGCCUAGACAAUAUACAAAAAUUCUAUUAUUUAAGAACAUUGUUAAAGGGUGAGCCAUUCGAUUUAGUCAAAAACUUGCCGGUCGAAGCUGUCAGUUAUGAUGCAGCUUUAAAUUUACUAAAAAAUAGAUAUGAAAAUAAAUAUAGAAUAAUCUCUGAGCACAUUUGCAAGCUAUUAGACUUAAAACAAAUAGUAAAAUCAACAGCAGUCUCACUCAGAGAAUUUAUUUCAACAGUUAGGCAGCAAAUAGCCGCCAUCAAAUAUCAAGAACCUAAUGUUAUAUACUGGGAUGCUAUAUUGUUGUGUAUUCUCUCUCGCAAACUAGACAGUUACACUGCGAAGGCCUACCAACUUGACCGGGAUAUGAAUGCUAAGCCGCAAUUGGAGGAUUUUCUCAAUUACAUUGAGAACCGAGCCAAUGCACUGGAGAAUGUCGAGCAGGGACAUCAACCCCAUCCUGGUAAUAGUAGCAGUAAGGUAGCAGCAGUCGCCACUACAGGAGCAACAUGCACUUACUGUAAGUCUUAUGAACAUAAAUUGUUUAACUGUAAAAAGUUUCAGUUAUUGCCUGCAAAUGAUAGAUACACAUUUGCCAAAGAAAAAAAAGUAUGUAUGAUUUGUUUAGGUCAGCAUGGUGGCAAAUGCAGGUUUCACUUCCGGUGCUCAGAGUGCAAGAAGCCUCAUAACACUCUGCUUCACUGCAAUUUAAGUGAAACCCCACCAGCUGUCACCUUAUCAAGUAAUGUUGAUAACAAUGUACUUUUGCCUACAGCUAAAAUCAAGGUAGUAGCAAGGGAUGGUACUCAAUACAUUAUCAAGGCGUUACUGGACAGCGGAUCUCAAGUUUCAUUUAUAACCACAAAGGUUGUUCAGCUAUUAGGAUUAACGCCCUUGCAAAGUGAUACUUGUAUUAUUGGAAUCACUAAUGAAAAGAGUAAUAUUAAGUACUGCAUUCCUAUUGAAAUUCAUUCAUUAAAUUCACCAUUCAAGACAACAGUAACUUGUCAUGUACUUAAAGAUGUUACAUGCAAAUUACCGCAAAACAAAUUUGAUGUCUCUAGGGUCAUUAUACCACCCAACAUUAUAUUGGCAGAUGACCAAUUUAAUGUUCCUAGUGAAAUCAACAUGUUAUUAGGGGCUGAUGUAUUUUUCCAGACGCUAUUGCCCAACGAGCAGUGCAUGACCAUCAGCCUGCCCAGCCACAGCAACCAGUCAUCAGCUGUGCCCCGGAGUGCUGCUCAUCCACCACAACAGCCUAGUAGCACACAGCUACACGUCUUCAACACAUACUUCGGGCACAUUGUAGGAGGGAAUCUGCCACCUAAGUGUUUCAGAAGGAGACUCGGCAGAUUUAAUCGGCUUUGCUGACGCUUCGAGUAAGACAGCCUACGGAUGCUGUGUGUACCUGCGAGUCACAGACCAAACAGACAAAAGGCCUUAGCAGCCAAGCAACUGAUGGGCUCCUUGCCGGCUGCACGUGUAACAGCCACCAGCAGGCCAUUUGAGAAAGUCGGCGUGGAUUUCGCUGGGCCAAUUGAUGUGAAACUCUCUCGCGUAAGACGAUCUUUAAUAGGUAAAGGGUAUAUCUGUGUAUUCGUAUGUUUCGCGACAAAAGCAGUUCACUUAGAACUUGCAUCAGAUUUGACCACGGAAACCUUUCUUGCGUGCUUAAGGAGAUUUAUCUCCAGACGAGGUUUGCCCACCGAAAUUCACUGCGACAAUGCAAGUACUUUUAAAAGUGCAAGGAGUCAAUUAGUUGAGCUCUACAAGCUGCAAGCUUCGCAGAGCCACCAAAUGCAGGUUCAAAGAUUUACCGCCGAGCGUGGGAUACAAUUUCACUUUAUACCAUGUUACUCACCUACAUUUGGCGGGCUCUGGGAAGCGGCAGUUAAGAGCACGAAGUUUCACUUAAAAAGAAUAUUACAAAAAACCGUUCUAACUUAUGAACAGCUUAAUACUGUAUUAACUGAAAUCGAAGCAGUGCUUAAUUCUAGGCCACUCUUACCUUUAUCUUCAAACUCUGAUGAUUAUUGUUAUUUAACACCUGGUCACUUUAUUAUAGGUAGUGCUUUGUCAAUGUAUCCUGAAAUAAAUGUAUGCAACGUUCCACAAAAUAGACUUAAGUUUUGGCAACUAUGUAAUUCUUUAAAACAAUCCUUUUGGAAAGUGUGGCACCAAUGUUAUUUAAAUUUAUUACAAAACAGGCCUAAGUGGCGUGAUACAGUUUGUAAUGUUAAGUUAGGCAACUUAGUUAUUUUAAAAGAGGACAAUAUUCCUCCUAUGUCAUGGCCAAUGGCACGAAUUGUUAAAUUAUUUCCAGGACAUGAUGGAAAAAUUAGGGCAGUUGAUGUUAGGACACCAAAUGGGAAAACCCAUACCCGUGCCAUCAAUAAAAUUUGUUUACUGCCAAUAGAAUAUGAUGAUAGUACUUAAGAAAUUGUAUUAAUGUUUAAUAAUAAGUCAUAUUUGUAAAACCAUAUAAGUUAUAGUUUUUUACUCUUAUGUAGUGUAAAACAUAAUUGUAAGUUAUUGUAUAAGUAAUAAAUAGAUAAAUACAUAGCAUAAAUAAUAAUGUAACCUUCACUCUAGUUUCUUUUGAUUUAUUUCAAAUAAUUGUUAUUUGUGUUUUCUGUGAGGCCGCAGCAUGUUGGAUUUUAUAAAUUGCAACAUUAACUUAAUUUUUAUUAUAUUUUUGUACUGUGGCAACUUUUCUCUCUCUUGCUCUGCGACACGGACCGAAUACACGUAUGUAAUUAUUUGCAA